AACGAACGCUGGCGGCAGGCUUAACACAUGCAAGUCGAGCGCCCCGCAAGGGGAGCGGCAGACGGGUGAGUAACACGUGGGAAUCUACCCAUCCCUACGGAACAACUCCGGGAAACUGGAGCUAAUACCGUAUACGCCCUUUGGGGGAAAGAUUUAUCGGGGAUGGAUGAGCCCGCGUUGGAUUAGCUAGUUGGUGGGGUAAAGGCCUACCAAGGCGACGAUCCAUAGCUGGUCUGAGAGGAUGAUCAGCCACAUUGGGACUGAGACACGGCCCAAACUCCUACGGGAGGCAGCAGUGGGGAAUAUUGGACAAUGGCGCAAGCCUGAUCCAGCCAUGCCGCGUGAGUGAUGAAGGCCUUAGGGUUGUAAAGCUCUUUCGCCGGCGAGGAUAAUGACGGUAGUCGGAGAAGAAGCCCCGGCUAACUUCGUGCCAGCCGCCGCCGUAA
rnacentral:rRNA from 1 species